rnacentral:lncRNA from 1 species
UGGUCAUAUCAAAAUUUUUCUGUCCAAGACCAACUCUCUCCAAGUUCACAAUCUCAAUCUCACUUAGGGUGAUAACAAGGAAAGGAGUCUCAACUAGCUCGACCAAGCAGCUUGAAGUUGGGAUGAUGAAAGAUGAGGUUUUGUAGGGCACCCCAUGGAAGCCAAGCUCUCUCAAAGGCUGAUCAAACUCAAGGUCGAGUCCACUAAACUGCGGUUGGCUCCAAAGAUCGUUCACCCGAUUUACAAAGCUCUGAAAAUCCAUAUUGAUCUUAUUCUUCCUGUCCCUUUCCCUUUGCUCUUCUUCAAUUUCAUCAGGGUCAUAUGCAGACCUCUUUCCGCCUCCCAAAGUCUGGACCGAUUCCAUCACUUCCACAUAAAACUGCACAUCCUUGGUCUUCUUGUUCCCUACCAUGAUAUGAUUGUGAAGGUGAAAGUGGAGAAGAGUGAUCAUUUCCCUCUCUGCAGGCUGGAAAAAAGCAUGUUUGAUGUUUGCAAACAUAACAUCCACACGCUCAUCACUUCUACUAGUUGAAAAUCUAAAUCCAUUUACAUGAGCUUCCAGAGCACCAGGUAGUUUUCUUCCCCGGCCACCAAAUGCUGGACGGAUCCAAAGGUCCGCCAACCUUAUUGGCUUGAAUCUACUCCCAGCAAGCUGAAGUUUCUCCUGAGUAACCAAGGUUGCCCUCUCAGCCCUCUCAGACUCCCUAGCCACAACAUGCCGUCUAAGUGUCUUAAUCUGCUGUACCACUUCACUGAUGUGCCUAGGGUCCUUGGACCGAAAUGAAACUUCCUUCAGGUAAAUAGCCCCUGGGUACUUCAGUGAAUUUGCAUCGUGUGGACUAAAAGGAGUUCCCGGCACAUUAAAUAUAAUACGGAUAUAGCAAUUUCUGUUGGUGUCUUGCUGGCUGGAAACUGUCCUGAUUGUAGCAACAUGGAAAGGUACCAUACUCCCAUAAAUAGGCAGAAGCACAGCCUCAUUCUUCUGGUCUAUCUGAAUCAUUAGAUCUCUUGCAGGAGGAAUAUCAUUGACAUUCUUGUAUGCUAUCAAAUCAGUUGAAGUCUUUGCAGCUCCACGGUUGUCUCCUGUUGCUCUUUCUUCACCAGUAAGUCGCCUUGCAGUUUCUUCAUUCUUUUGACGGGCAAGCUCCGCCUGGUGCUGCCUGCGAAUCUCCUCCUUUGAGAUCUCCCCUGAAUCAGACCUUAGUGUUGUCUUGGACAUGAAGGCCUUUGUGCCAUUAGCCCCAGGUUUAGGUUCUGGUUUUACUUCAUCCUCUUCAGUGAAAGAGUAAGCCACAUCUUUAACAGCUUUUGAGCUCUUACAAGUUGCCACUUCUGGAUUUGUUUGGCCUACAAUAACAGUAUCAGCAACUAAUAGAGAAUAAUUCCGGAUCUUUGGGUUAUUUGUUUGGUUCUGUAAGUUCUGAAAACCGAGUGACAAAUUAAAAAUCAUAUUUGGCCUCAACGAUCGAUCAUUCUUGGCAUUAAGAUUCAGGCCAGACUCACGGAACUCAAGCCCAAUCCCUGUACCUACUGAUUUUGUCAGAUAGGGAACUAAUUCAGGAGCCUCUUUCUCAACCACUGACACAGCUGCUUGAUACACAGCACUGAUCUUGUUCCCAGGCUUUAAUGCACCAAUUGCUGCUUCAUGGGCUUUGAGCAGAACCUCAUAAGCCUUUCUCUGCAUUGGAUUGGCAUCAAUCAAGAAUGUCCUGGCAAGGUUUGAACAGUAAUUGUUAUAUCGGGCUCCAAUUGCAACUAUGAUGACACUGGCAGGAUCAUAGUAGAGAUACUCAUCAUUGCUGGCAGCACUGGGUCUGAGAUCAAAUUCUCCUCCACUUUGAAAUAUGGGAGGGUAACAUAUAUCACAAUUUUCUGCUUUUAACUUCGCCCUAGCUUUGGCAGGAUCCAUUAUGGCCUUCUCUGCGUCAUCCAUCAAAGCAGAAUGGGUAACUUUCUUCUCCUCAUCAAUAGCAUUCUCAAGAGUGGGAAUGACAACAUUGCUCAUCACACUAACACUCAAAUAAGCAGCUUUCUUUACAUUCAAAAUCUCUUCAGCAUCCUUGAAAGCAAGCAGGUCAGAAAACCCAUUAGUUACAUCGGCAAUCUGCUGGAAACCUGCAGUCUUCAGUUUUUCAGCCCAAGUCUCCAAAAGAGUACCUUCUGGAACCUCCUUGGCUAUGUAUCCAACAACACUAGCAUUUGGCUGCGCUCGAAUAGCACGAAAUAUAGCUUCCAUUAAUGUUGUCCCAUCAUCCCCCUUUGCCUUGACAUGAAUAACAACAUCUAUACCUCCCGCAACAUCAUGAGCAGGUGUUCUCAAAACCUCAAGCAAAGCAGCCUUCUUUUGACUACACAAGAAAUGAAUCUGCUUCUUGGUAAAUACCAUUAUAGUGUCCGGGAACUCAUAACCUAGUAACCAAAGAUUCAUGGCGGAUGAUUUCAGGUACCGCAAAUCAUCCGAAGGUGGCGGCGUAGCUAUUGCAAGCGCAUCAGCAGACCCCCAUAGUUCAUCCUUGUGUUUAUUCCAAUGCGAAUACAGUGUCUUAAGUCGUAGUUUGAACUUAUCGGUGUUAAUCUUAUAUGCAUUUUGGCCCCCGCUAGGGUUCCGCUGGUCAGCCAUAUGGGUUCCUCAGCCCUGACAAGCCAAUUUUCAAUCCAGAAAGAAAAAAAGUAAAAGAAAAAUUCGACACCAGUUGUGGUUUAAAACACCUAGUUCUGGCGGCGCCGCACCAUAAUCAGUACGAAAAAGAGAAAAUACUAGGUUUAGGGUUAUGGAACAAGCCAAAACACAAUUGACUCUGGAAUAGAGAAAACGAACAAAAACACAGAAAUAAAAGAAGGAUAAUUCAGGGAAAAAAGAGACCAAGUUUCUCGAAGAUCCAGUAGAAGAAAGAAACUUACCGGAAUCGAAGAACAAGCUUCAAAAAAUGAAAAGGGAGAACUCGAGAGAAGAGAGUGAGUGAAAUUUUUGUUUCCUUUAAUGUUUUGGACUUCCGAACUCAAUAAGAAGUUCUUGCGUAAAUUAGUACUUUUUAUCAAAUUAAUUAAUUAGUUCCCACUUUUUUUUCAAAGUUAAAAUUCAAUUCAUUAUAAAUGAGGCGCACAGUUACAGAUGCAGAGCCCACACACAAAUUGAAAAUAAUCUAAGGCCCAGUAAAAAUAAAAACUAAAUUGUAACCCAUAGCAGAAAAACUCUAAACCCUACAUGUAGAUACGAUCCAGUGCAUCAUAAUUUUCACAGCCUCUCAAUUGAGCUGCUGGUCACCUAAGAAAGAAAAUCACCACCAGGCUUGAUCUGAUCUCCCAAAUAGUAACCUUACAGCCUUAGCAACCCACGCUAAAGCUCAAGAUAAGAUGAAGGCAAGCAGCAAUCCAAGAGAGAGAGGAGACACAAAAGCUCCAUAUACACACAUGCAACCACACUGUUUAUUGACGGGAAAUCUUUUUUAAUAAAAUAAUUUAAUAUUAUUUUUAAUUUUAAUUUAGAAAAUAAAAUAUUAAUAAAUUUAUAUAUGUAAGUGUUGAUAAAAAUUUUAAAAAGUAAAAAAUGACUUAUUUUUAAAAUUUUUUUUACUAUUCUAAAUAUAAAAAAUUAUUAAAAAAAAAUAUUAUUAUAAAAAAUAGUUUUCGUAAAAUAAAUGGCACCUAAAAGUUGUAACCUUUUUCUUUUUCCACUCAUGGUAGUUGAAAUGCUCUCUUUGGUUGGGCUUUGAGUUUGAAUCUUAUUAUUUUGUGGGCGUAGUUAGAGCUUUGCUCUUAUUGGAUUUGCGCGUGUGCCCCUUUAUGAUGGGUCUUACACCAAUUAUGCUUUAAUAAAUCCUAUUUUCAUUUUUGUAAAACAUAUUAUUAGCAUUGAUUUACUCAUUUUUCAAAUUGUGAGAAAUAUCAAUAAAUCUAAAUUUUAUAAUAUCAAAGUUAUUUCGUUUCAAGUUAAAAAAAAUUAGAAACAUCAACUUCUUGUACAUUACAUUCUUCUAUUACAAAGAAAGGGGAAAAUCCAUUAAAAAUCAUUAAUUAGAAACUAUUCUAGGCCAAGCCACGCCUUAAGCAUUCUCUUGAAGUAGAGAAAUAACUGCAGAUAGGAGGAAACUAUAAAACAUCCAAAUUUGAACUGCUAGACCAUUGAAUCAUAACGAAGAACAAUAUUUCAGAUGUACAACUUUAAUCCAUUAAAACUAAUAUCGGCAACUUACGACCAGAAAUCUAUCUUCCAAGCCUCCUACUUGACAUUCAAAAGACAACUGAUUAAAUAAGAACCAUAAGAAUUACCACUAGCUGAUGGCUUCAAUGCAAGCCACGUCAGGAAACUGAAUUUCUAAAGCAAAAUUGCCUGCAGCUGCUACAUAGUACAAAGAAAAGGGGUAAAAAACAUUCUUCACAUCUAUCUGAAUCUGGAACGCUUGGCCAAGCUGCUACUAGGAGGGGCUCGAGACUUCCCAAGUUUCUUCAUUUUCCUUCUAUUCCUCUCCACCUCACUGUCUGACUCAUCCCCUUUCUCCCUGUCCGCAUUGCUUGCUUCCCUCUCUAACUCUUCCCAUGUCUUGCCCUUUUCUUCCUCAGAAUCGUCAUCUGAAUCAUCAUCCUCCUCAUCAUCAUCAGAUUCCACCAAUGACUCACUAUCAGAGUCAUCAUCUUCUGACUCAGACUCAGGUUCGGCGUCUGAUGGCUCAUAACCCUUGUCUGAAUCCUCGGAAUUCUCAGAGUCUGAAUCACUUGCUUCCAGAUUCAAAAAUUCCCAACCCCCUUCAUCUAUGAAACUCUGAGGGUCAUCAGUAAUUGUCUUCAGUAUCUGCCGCCAGUUCAAAUUCAACUUGCUCUCGUAAUACUUGAUGUCUGUAGUGUCGAGCCAUUCCUUUAUACCAUCCAGUGAUGUCGAUGGAAUAGAAUCAAUCCUAAGGACAUCUCGCUUGAAAUCCUUAAACACAAUGGUCAUAUCAAAAUUUUUCUGUCCAAGACCAACUCUCUCCAAGUUCACAAUCUCAAUCUCACUUAGGGUGACAACAAGGAAAGGAGUCUCAAUUAGCUCGACCAAGCAGCUUGAAGUUGGGAUGAUGAAAGAUGAGGUUUUGUAGGGCACCCCAUGGAAGCCAAGCUCUCUCAAAGGCUGAUCAAACUCAAGGUCGAGUCCACUAAACUGCGGUUGGCUCCAGAGAUCGUUCACCCGAUUUACAAAGCUCUGAAAAUCCAUAUUGAUCUUAUUCUUCCUGUCUCUUUCCCUUUGCUCUUCUUCAAUUUCAUCAGGGUCAUAUGCAGACCUCUUUCCGCCUC